rnacentral:rRNA from 1 species
AAGUUAGCGGCGGACGGGUGAGUAACACGUGGGCAACCUGCCUAUAAGACUGGGAUAACUCCGGGAAACCGGGGCUAAUACCGGAUAGUUCUUUUCCUCUCAUGAGGAAAAGGGGAAAGAUGGUUUCGGCUAUCACUUAUAGAUGGGCCCGCGGCGCAUUAGCUAGUUGGUAAGGUAACGGCUUACCAAGGCGACGAUGCGUAGCCGACCUGAGAGGGUGAUCGGCCACACUGGGACUGAGACACGGCCCAGACUCCUACGGGAGGCAGCAGUAGGGAAUCUUCCGCAAUGGACGAAAGUCUGACGGAGCAACGCCGCGUGAACGAAGAAGGCCUUCGGGUCGUAAAGUUCUGUUGUUAGGGAAGAACAAGUAUGAGAGUAACUGCUCGUACCUUGACGGUACCUAACCAGAAAGCCACGGCUAACUACGUGCCAGCAGCCGCGGUAAUACGUAGGUGGCAAGCGUUGUCCGGAUUUAUUGGGCGUAAAGCGCGCGCAGGUGGUUUCUUAAGUCUGAUGUGAAAGCCCACGGCUCAACCGUGGAAGGUCAUUGGAAACUGGGGAACUUGAGUGCAGAAGAGGAAAGUGGAAUUCCAAGUGUAGCGGUGAAAUGCGUAGAUAUUUGGAGGAACACCAGUGGCGAAGGCGACUUUCUGGUCUGUAACUGACACUGAGGCG